CAUUUAGGGGCUGGCUGCCCUAAGAGAAGGUUCUUUACUUGAAGGUUUCUCUUUUUGGAGUGCUUGGUGAACCCUGACCUUUGGGACAGCUUGCAGAGGUGACUAAUGCGAAGGCUGGAUUGAGCAGACAGCCAGAAGGAGGUUGUGUGUCCUUGAAGCAGAGGAGUGACUCUGUAGUCCCACCUUCCCUUUGCCCUUCUUGGGCAAAGUUCCACACCUAGGUUUGCAUCCUGCCGCAGAAGAGCCUGGAUGGAUGCUACCCACCAGACUGCACACACCUCCACGUCCAAUUCUUGCAUUUCUCACAUCUGCAAAAGACCAAAUAAACUCCAAACAAGGCAGUGGGAAAGAGCUCUUAGUAACCUACUCAUUAAAUGUACCACCUUUCGUUCCGAAGUGCUCUUCCAGCCUUAACACAGCACUUCUCCAUCUCAAUCUGUAUGAUUCCUCUGUUGAUGGAUAUUUAUUCCUUUCAGCCAAGCCUUAACAUGGAAACCUUUUCUUCCAUCCUAUCUCUGCAUUUUAAGAGGAAGUUGUGGCAUGAAAAGGAGGGAACAAUACUGAAUGCUCCACUUAAAGAUGAAAACUCAGCACAGGCAUUAGAGGACAUGGCUUCUUUGUAGAUUCCAAACAAUGCUGUAUGUGAAAGAGGGAUAUUAUUCUGGAUGGGUCCUCUUGAUUUCUUGCCAAGGUCAGCACUGGAGCAUUCUGAUGAGGAAGUGGUUGCUUGAGUUGCUUCAUCAAUUAUUUACUUCAGGUUUGAUGACAUCUCACUGUUAUUUUUCCUUUAUGUUCUCGAGCCAUUCACUGUUUGUCACUCUAUUUGCAGCUGUGGAGGUUGCCCAUUUAAUUCUGUGAAAGGUACAUAUAUCCAAACUUCUGUCAAGGCUGCACUAUGUUUUCUACCUAAUCACAGUUAACGUUACUUUGCAGUUUUAAAGUAAUUAUUUUUCACUGUCAGUGGCGAGUGCUUUCUAAUCCUUAUGAACCAAGUCCUCUCUGGCCCUGAGUUACAAAUAAAACCAAUUUUGUCAAGAAUAGGUUCUGUAAGGAGUCUGUUCUUCACAAGAUCCUAAUUUUUGGCUGUCUCUAUUCCUCUCCUCUGCAAAAUACAACCAAUUACUGUAGAUCCCACUCCAGUCUUAUGCAAGAAUAUAGGUUCUAUCUGGCAUAAACCUCUUUCACAAUAGCGAUUUUUCUGAAGAUAAGGGUGUCGUCAUUUGAUUUUCUUCCUUAAACAUCCAAGCCUUCUUUCAGUGGGGAGCACCAUCAUGUGGAUCCCUGGAUCCCAACUGGCUGCUGGCGAAGUGGCAUUUGGGGAAGACACAUAAAUACCAGAGAGGCCCCACAGCAGCGGGGUGCCCUGGGUGUGGGACAGGCUGCAGAAGAGUUAAAGCAACACAGUGAUAAAGCAUGGAAAUGCCUGUGGUGCCUUACCACCCACGAGUUCUCCUUGUCCUUAUUCACCAGUCUGCCUGACAUGGAUGAAAGUGCCUUGUGCUCCCUCCUGCAGUCUUUCUGGGGACUGAACAGCAGAAUGUUAUUGUCCUGCUAAUAGCGGGCAGCUUUUACAGACCUGGAGAAAAGGGGCUGGAAGAGACGCUGGGAAUACUGUAGAUUGCCUUAUCUGUGCUUCUGGGAGUAUUGGCCAUGUCUAAGGACAAGAAGCAAGAUGCAAAGAGUGCUGGAGACAGAGCUCCAGGCAGAUCCUAUCACGCUCACCCUGACAGCUGUCCUUCCUGUAUUUUGCUCUAAAUCCUCCACACACAAAAUUCGUCAUCUCUUGACCUGUGCCCUGGUGACAAGCAGAGCAGAUCUGUGCUUCCUCUCAUCAUGGAGAGGCUCUGGGGAUCUGUCCUGAGGGCUCCCUCAAGAGCAGCCCUAGCAAGGCUGCUGCUGCCUCUGCCUGUUCACCCUGAUAGCAAAGCAACAGCAUCUUGCCCUAGCUUGCAGUUUUCCUUUGUGACAAUCCAAGACAAGCUUGUUUUUCCUUAA